rnacentral:rRNA from 1 species
CCUACGGGGGGCUGCAGUAAGGAAUAUUGGUCAAUGCCCGGAAGGGUGAACCAGCCAUGCCGCGUGCAGGAUGACGGCCCUAUGGGUUGUAAACUGCUUUUGGAUAGGAAGAAUGGAUUGUAUUGAUAUGAUUUUGACGGUACUAUCAGAAUAAGCACCGGCUAACUCCGUGCCAGCAGCCGCGGUAAUACGGAGGGUGCGAGAAUUACCCGGAAUUACGGGGGUGAAGGCGGCUGUAGACGGCUGUAGUGAAAGCAUGGAGCUUAACUGCAUAAUUGCCUUCGAUACUGUAAAGCUGGAAUUAAGUUGAGGUUGGCGGAAUGUGACAUGUAGCGGUGAAAUGCAUAGAUAUGUCAUAGAACACCGAUUGCGUAGGCAGCUGACUGAGCUUAAAUUGACGCUGAGGCACGAAAGCGUGGGGAGCGAACAGGAUUAGAUACCCUGGUAGUC